rnacentral:rRNA from 1 species
GUGGGGAAUAUUGGGCAAUGGGGGAAACCCUGACCCAGCAACGCCGCGUGAAGGAAGAAGGUUUUCGGAUCGUAAACUUCUAUCCUUGGUGAAGAUAAUGACGGUAGCCAAGAAGGAAGCCCCGGCUAACUACGUGCCAGCAGCCGCGGUAAUACGUAGGGGGCAAGCGUUGUCCGGAAUGAUUGGGCGUAAAGGGCGCGUAGGCGGCCUGGUAAGUCUGGAGUGAGAGUCCUGCUUUUAAGGUGGGAAUUGCUUUGGAUACUGUCGGGCUUGAGUGCAGGAGAGGUAAGUGGAAUUCCCGGUGUAGCGGUGAAAUGCGUAGAGAUCGGGAGGAACACCAGUGGCGAAGGCGGCUUUCUGGACUGUAACUGACGCUGAGGCACGAAAGCGUGGGGAGCAAACAGGAUUAGAAACCCCAGUAGUCC